rnacentral:piRNA from 1 species
GCGAGCUGGAGAGAGCAGAGGAGC